UUCAACAUGCGCGCUAGUUGUUGGGUAGAAUUACAAUGUACUAAACCCGAAGGCGCAGUGAAAGCAAGUCACAGCUCUGCUGUGAAUUGGCGAGAUCCUGUCUACUAGUGUAGCCGGUAAAAUGGCCACUGUACAGGCGCAUCGCCGGCCCAUCAUAGACUCAUGUAGUCGUGGUGGAGCCUGAGCGUGCACGUUGAGACCCGAAAGAUGGUGAACUAUGCCUGGGCAGGAUGAAGCCAGGGGAAACUCUGGUGGAGGUCCGUAGCGAUUCUGACGUGCAAAUCGAUCGUCUGACCUGGGUAUAGGGGCGAAAGACUAAUCGAACCAUCUAGUAGCUGGUUCCCUCCGAAGUUUCCCUCAGGAUAGCUGGCACACGAGAGAACGUAGUCUCUCCCGGUAAAGCGAAUGAUUAGAGGUCUUGGGGUCGAAACGACCUCAGCCUAUUCUCAAACUUUAAAUGGGUGAGAAGUUUGGCUUUCUUAAACACUAUAUAAGAUGAAGUCCAGACGUUUGGAUACGUGCGCCUAGUGGGCCAUUUUUGGUAAGCAGAACUGGCGCUGCGGGAUGAACCGAACGUUGAGUUACGGCGCCCGACGAGACGCUCAUCAGAUCCCAUAAAAGGUGUUGGUUGCUAUAGACAGCAG
rnacentral:rRNA from 1 species